AAAUUGAAGAGUUUGAUCAUGGCUCAGAUUGAACGCUGGCGGCAGGCCUAACACAUGCAAGUCGAGCGGUAGCACAGAGAGCUUGCUCUCGGGUGACGAGCGGCGGACGGGUGAGUAAUGUCUGGGAAACUGCCUGAUGGAGGGGGAUAACUACUGGAAACGGUAGCUAAUACCGCAUAACGUCGCAAGACCAAAGUGGGGGACCUUCGGGCCUCAUGCCAUCAGAUGUGCCCAGAUGGGAUUAGCUAGUAGGUGGGGUAACGGCUCACCUAGGCGACGAUCCCUAGCUGGUCUGAGAGGAUGACCAGCCACACUGGAACUGAGACACGGUCCAGACUCCUACGGGAGGCAGCAGUGGGGAAUAUUGCACAAUGGGCGCAAGCCUGAUGCAGCCAUGCCGCGUGUGUGAAGAAGGCCUUCGGGUUGUAAAGCACUUUCAGCGGGGAGGAAGGCGUUAAGGUUAAUAACCUUGUCGAUUGACGUUACCCGCAGAAGAAGCACCGGCUAACUCCGUGCCAGCAGCCGCGGUAAUACGGAGGGUGCAAGCGUUAAUCGGAAUUACUGGGCGUAAAGCGCACGCAGGCGGUCUGUCAAGUCGGAUGUGAAAUCCCCGGGCUCAACCUGGGAACUGCAUUCGAAACUGGCAGGCUAGAGUCUUGUAGAGGGGGGUAGAAUUCCAGGUGUAGCGGUGAAAUGCGUAGAGAUCUGGAGGAAUACCGGUGGCGAAGGCGGCCCCCUGGACAAAGACUGACGCUCAGGUGCGAAAGCGUGGGGAGCAAACAGGAUUAGAUACCCUGGUAGUCCACGCCGUAAACGAUGUCGAUUUGGAGGUUGUGCCCUUGAGGCGUGGCUUCCGGAGCUAACGCGUUAAAUCGACCGCCUGGGGAGUACGGCCGCAAGGUUAAAACUCAAAUGAAUUGACGGGGGCCCGCACAAGCGGUGGAGCAUGUGGUUUAAUUCGAUGCAACGCGAAGAACCUUACCUGGUCUUGACAUCCACAGAACUUUCCAGAGAUGGAUUGGUGCCUUCGGGAACUGUGAGACAGGUGCUGCAUGGCUGUCGUCAGCUCGUGUUGUGAAAUGUUGGGUUAAGUCCCGCAACGAGCGCAACCCUUAUCCUUUGUUGCCAGCGGUUCGGCCGGGAACUCAAAGGAGACUGCCAGUGAUAAACUGGAGGAAGGUGGGGAUGACGUCAAGUCAUCAUGGCCCUUACGACCAGGGCUACACACGUGCUACAAUGGCAUAUACAAAGAGAAGCGACCUCGCGAGAGCAAGCGGACCUCAUAAAGUAUGUCGUAGUCCGGAUUGGAGUCUGCAACUCGACUCCAUGAAGUCGGAAUCGCUAGUAAUCGUAGAUCAGAAUGCUACGGUGAAUACGUUCCCGGGCCUUGUACACACCGCCCGUCACACCAUGGGAGUGGGUUGCAAAAGAAGUAGGUAGCUUAACCUUCGGGAGGGCGCUUACCACUUUGUGAUUCAUGACUGGGGUGAAGUCGUAACAAGGUAACCGUAGGGGAACCUGCGGUUGGAUCACCUCCUUACCUUAAAGAA
rnacentral:rRNA from 1 species